ACAUUUAUAUCUCUCAAGAGUGAGAAACGGCCACCAACUAUAAAGAAAAACUAGUUACAAAACGUAUGAAUUCCUCAAGUGUACUAUGACCAUACAGACCCAUACCAUAAAAUGAACUACACAACUAAUAAGCUCUCUUAAGUCUUAAUCUAUUCAACUAGAGGAAGCAGUGCACUUUCCCUGCAACCAUGGUAAUCGUUUCUCACUCUUGAGAGAUAUAAAUGUUUCCCUGGAAUUGGGGUUCUCAAAUAAAUCCAAGGCAAAAAAGUAAAUCCGUUGAUCAACACCUUGCAUCUCAUCCAAGACUUUAAUGCAUUUGCUUAUGGAAAAGCGAUCCUCAUUCUUCAUUAUUGCAGAAGCCCUCAUUUUAGAAGCAGCUGCAAUUUCAAGCAUAGCAUCCACAAUAGCAUCACCAGUAGCCUUGCGACUCCUCUUGUGACGACCAGAACUUGAAGGUGUCACAGACUGACGCUUAUUGUGUCCAUCCAACAUGUUUCCAUCAUCACCGGAACCAGAAGAAGCAUCCUCAUCCAGGAAAGCCAUUGGUGCAGCAGGAUCAACAGACAUGAUGAGAGUUUUUAACUGUCCACUUUAGAACGAAAGAAAAUCGAGUUUCUUCUGGAUUCUCCGUUCGUGGAAUUUAGGAUUGAACAAGGUUACGCUUGAGGGGAUUCUCUUGCGGGAAGUCGAGUUAUUAUGAAGGAUCUAGAUCCUGAUAAUCCUAUUGGCCAUCCAAAAUCUCUUUCGUCAUAGAUAGGAAGUGAGAAUUAGAGAGGUUCACAGAGAAGCUGCGGACUGUCUUUCUAAGCAUGCUUUAAUUUUGCUUCUACACCUCCAAAGACUUGCAAAGUUCUUUCCAAGGAUUUGAAGGAGUCUCUCCCACGCAGGUGUCUUGGGUAGUUCUUUUCAAGCCCUGGCAAGAAAG
rnacentral:misc_RNA from 1 species